GACCCCAGGUCAGGGCGGGAC
rnacentral:rRNA from 1 species